UUGGGAACACUGAUAAACCCAGAGGCGAAAUGAAAGUGAAAGGCCGGCCUCGAGCCGGUCGCAGGGAAGAUGCGCGGGCGUCGUCAGACGCCCCGCCGCAUUCCCGAGGCGUUUCGAGAAAGCCCCCGUGCGAUUAUCGAGACGCACUGAGAGCGUACACGCUGGGACCCGAAAGAUGGUGAACUAUGCCUGGUCAGGUCGAAGUCAGGGGAAACCCUGAUGGAGGACCGAAGCGAUUCUGACGUGCAAAUCGAUCGUCCGAACUGGGUAUAGGGGCGAAAGACUAAUCGAACUAUCUAAUAGCUGGUUCCAUCCGAAGUUUCCCUCAGGAUAGCUGGCGCUCGAGAAACAUGACGGUCCUCGGAUCGCCAUUCGCACAGUCUCAUCCGGUAAAGCGAAUGAUUAGAGGCAUUGGGGCCGAAAUGGCCUCAACCUAUUCUCAAACUUUAAAUGGGUGAGAUCUCCUUCUUGCUCGAAGAUGAAGUAGGAGCUCGGAUGGGAGUGCCAAGUGGGCCAAUUUUGGUAAGCAGAACUGGCGCUGUGGGAUGAACCAAACGUCGAGUUAAGGCGCCCAAUGAACGCUCAUCGGAUACCAUAAAAGGCGUUGGUCGCUC
rnacentral:rRNA from 1 species